rnacentral:lncRNA from 1 species
GAGUACAGGAGUCAGCUAAAAGCAUAGAAGAGCAUGAGAGUGUUGCAGGCAAGAUUUGUAGUUGAAAAAUAUAUGUGUAGGGAAUAGCAUGGAGAACAAGAUUGGAAGAAUAUUAGAGACUAUUUUUGACCUGAGGGAGCUAUUUGUGCAAUGGACCUUUUCCUGUAUAAAUAGGAUUGGAAAUAUGUGUAGUCAUAGGCUAUCAAAAUUUGUGAUAGAACUAGUUACCCGUGGAAACAUGAGACUAAGCAAGCAAGGAUUUAUUUGGUGGCAAUGCGAAAAAUGUUUUAUGUCAACUGUUGAAUAUCACCACGAAGAGAACCAAGUUUUGGGAAUUAAAUAACUCUUGAUUUAGUUACCAAAAACAAAUUAAUAUAUGAUGAAGAAUGCAAAUUAACCUUUUCAAAAAAUUUUGUGACUAUAAAAAUGUGUUAAAAAUCAAUUUUCAUCAAUACAUUCUAUUAUUGAUACCUUGAAAACCAUUAUAAGCACAAUGUAUAGUUUAUAGGGCAAAAAUUGUUUGGCACGUAAAUUUGUAUGGAAGUUAGCUAAUCUCCUAAUUUAAGACCACAAUAAAACAUAUGAUUUCAUGAUUUAGUAAUUUAGUUUUUUUUUUCAAAUUUUUAUUCAUUUAUUUUAUUUUUAAGUGUAGAUCUGAUCACUUGGUUGCGCUUUUUUACCCCUUACCACCCAACUCAUCCCUCUCCCUAGUGAUUUAGAUUUUCUUUAGUAAUACCCCUAUUAUAACAUAUAAGAUAAUUCUAUGACUCCUAAUUUGAGUGAAUUUAUUGAGAGUAUUCGUGUAACAUUAAUGUUAAAGUCUUUUUUUUUUUCUAGGAAGGAAAUUGUAUUUUUUUUUAAAAAAGAAUUUCUAUGAAAUAGAAUAGAAUGAUACUACUACUUUGUGCUGUAAACAUGGUUUCGUCGUUUGUGUAUAUGCAAUUGCACUUGGGAUUUGACUCUGCUUUGGAAAAGAGAUAAAACUUUUGAUAAUAGUGAAAGCGAUGAAAUCGACAAUGCCAAAAAAAAAAACUCUUCUAUUCAUAGCACUUCAUCCGGCCUGUAUAUUAAAAGCCCGAAUAACAUUAAGAGUACGUUUGAUAAAAUUAAAGUCUAAAUCUAUUAAAUUAUUGAAUUGUUAAGUAUUAAAUCUAAUGUAUUUGAAUAGCUUAUCACUUAAUUUUGGGAGCAAGUUUUGGCAAGAAAAUUCAAUGUCAUUUAAUUAAUUUAGAUGUUCAAUUUUUAAUUAUCAAACGAUUUGAAUAUAUUAAUAUCUAAAUCUAUUAAAUUUAAGCGUUGAAUUGGGUUAUCAAAUAGGAGCUAAAUGCUUGACACUUUUUUAUUUUUAAAAUUACGUUAAAAUAAUGCGUAUAUGUCAACUUAAAGCAAAGAUAUAAACGAUAUUAUAAUAAUUUCUAACAAGAAAGAAUCAAUCUUAUCUUUAGAUGCCUACUUUUGUCAAAUAUCCAUGUGAUCUUAAGUCCCCAAUUUUAUUACAAGUAUUAUUGUAUGGAAGUUAAUUAACCAAUAAAAUAAAGGGCAGCACAUCUUCAUUCUUGUAAAUGAAAUUCCUACUCGAAGGAUGUCUGCGGCUUAAUCCAGUUUGAUUUUAAACUAAGCUAAUGGACUUAACUACCCUUGAAAAUUUUCAUAAUAAGUAAUUUUCUCUAAUAAAAUACGACGACUUUUUUCAUAUUGUAAUAUAUGCACUCUUUCUUCAUAUUGUAAUACAUGUGUCGGCUUUCAUUAUACUUAUAUCCAUGUAAUAGAAAAAUCUAGAGAGUUGUAUAGAAGAAAUAGAAUCAAGUUCUUAAAUAAGACAUACUGCAAUAAGUACAACAUUUUUGUGAAUAAGAAAAUAAAUUAUGACAAAAAAUAUAUAGUUGUAUUUUAAAACAAGAGAGAAAAAGAGGGCUUGCAUACUGAUCGAUUAUCAUAAUUUUAACCCUUUAAAACUAUGUUUGGACAAAUUUAAAUGUUGAUCAACAGGGCAACAAAAUAAAUUUACAUGCACCUUCACUCAAAGAUUUGAAUUAGUUUAUGCCAAUUGAUUCAAACAAAAUUGUAUAUAUGGGAAAGUGAAAUAUGGAAUAUUGAAGUAAAAGAAAAUGAAAAUUGUUUCUCGAAUUACAUUUGGUUAUCAUAAAACAUGAGGGAAAAUAGGAAGUUUUUGCCAUUUUCCAUCGAAAUCAAAUUUAUGAGGACAAAAUACAGGAAACUGAACAACAGUGAAAAAAAAAAAUUUUUUUUUUCAACUUUUCUACUAACCAAACUCACGUGAAGGAAAACAAAUAACUAAUUUCCUUCACUUUUCUAAACACUACUUAUAGAAAUUAGUUAUUAAAAUGCAAGUAAAAUAAUUAAAAUAAAGCUAGUUUUCAAUCUAAUUUAUAUAAGAAGUUACUUUAGGUCAUAUCAUAAAUUAUAAGGCAUAUCAGAUGAAUUUUAGACUUUCAACAAGUAUUUUUAUUUUUAUUUUUUCAAUUCCCAAUCAAAAACAUAUUGAUAUCAAAUGAUAAUUGAUGCUCAAUUAAUUAGACUACUAGAAACUGAAAUGAUACUCAAUGAAUAUAGCCAAUUGAUUGUUUCACAAGCAUCACAAAAGAUGAAAGGUACCAAGUUAUCAAAAGAAGAAAGGUAUCAAGUGAUUCAAACUCUACUCCAAUACGGUGCUAAAUAACAAAGAUGAAAGGGGAAGAUAAAAAGCAUGAGUCUUAAACCCCUGUAGUUUUGGAGAUAAAUAUGUCAAUGGAGAGGAAAAUGAACAUGACAAAAUGACAAAUACAUAUUACAAGAAGUUGUGUAUAAAUUGCAUGAUGAUAUUCUGUCAAAAUGCCUUUCCAUGCAAUGACAAUUGCAAUAGGACAAUAGAUAGACCUGUAACCAGCUGAAUUCAUACGGGGUAGGUAAUUUAAUAGGUAUUGCAAAUACUACAAGAAUAAAACUAAUUGAGUUGUUAAUAGUAAAAGUAACAAAUAAUAAGAUCAUGCAAAAAAUAAUGAUUAAUCGAAUACGAACAGUAAAACAUAACGAUAAACAAACAUAAGAUGUGUUGUUUUGUUUACUUAAUUUCUUUUUCGCAUCGACGAACCAUGAGUUCUAAUCUGCUCAUAUCUAUUCAAAUAAUUGAGUUAGUAGAUUACGCAUGGGAUUUUCGCGUGACAAGCUUAUGGAAUUUGUUAAUGCCAGAUUAUUUUUUGUCAAUUACUGAUGGGAAAAAUGAAGAAAUAAACAAACUAUAACUACUUAAAAAAUUAUAAGCAAAAUUUCAUUUAAGAAUGCGAUUGUAAGCAUAUGGUUAGUAAUCCUAAUAAUUGAAAAGUAAGGAAAUGGUGGCAUGAGAAGAAGGGCCAAGAAAAUAGAAGGAGAAAAAGGAGGAGAACGAAAAAGAGACUGAAAUAGACAAAGGCAGAUUUGGUUUGGACACAAAAGAAGGGUCUAGUGCGGAAUUAAAUAAAGCUCAGUGGUGCAAAUUGCAAUUGGGUGCACAGUUAAAGCGGGUUUGGCGCAAAUAACUCAGACAAUUGAGUUAAAGCGCGCGAAGCAGAGAGCGACGCUUUGAAAUUGUAAGAACAAACAAACAAAAAUAGUAGCAGCACUACCGGCACUGGAGCCGGAGUUGUGGAAGAGAGAGAUGAAGUUCGCCGUCAAGAAGGGAUGGAGCAACGGAAGAGCCCGGUCAGGGGUUCUGCAGCUGGGCAGCUGUCCUUUCCCAAUUCAGACUCCCGCUCUGCUCCUCACAACCCGCAAAGGCCUGCCCCCUUUCAUCUCUCCGGACCUCCUUACCUCCUCUCUUCCUUCUCCGGAUUCUCACCUGCUCCAGUUCAGCCCCCUUCACUUGUAAGCGCUUGGCCCCCAAAAAAAAAAAAAGAUUUUUUUUACGCUCAAAAGAAGCAAAAUUUUUGUCUAUGAGAUGUUAUCUUGUCUGUCGCGUACCAGGUGUUUGUUGUCUGGUCUGUUCGUGUUCUGUGCUGGAACCUUAUACCAGCCAAGCCAGCACUAAAUAGUCUAACACUGCUAACUAGUUUGUAUGAUUCAAUUCAUGCUAGUAAGUACAACUGCCGUGUUUCUUCUCCAGCUUAGAGGGUAUUUCUCCUAAAACAAUAUCUAACAUUGGAGGACUGCACCAAAUGCUUAGUCUGCACCAACACAUAUUCGCGGCCGUACCGCGGGAUUCUAUCAUUGCCCUUCCUGAACAUGACAGCACUAACAAAUAUGGAGCGUCUUUCCAGACUCCUGGAGGCCGUCUUCUGGUUAUUUCAUUUCCCCUUAACGUCCUUUUUUCUUUUUAAAUGUUUGAGUUUAAUCCUUCUGAGAAUCUGUAUAACGUUUCAUGCUCUGAGAACCUGUAUAACGAGUUCUGCACUUUCAUGAAUGAAUCAGAUAAAACCUGCAGAAUACGUGGAACUUGUUUCUUCAAUGAAGCCUGACUUUUGGGUCACUUUGGCUGAUGAAGUUCCUGCUUGGGUUUCUAAUAAGAGGAACAGAACCUCAGUUGACCGCACUCUGAGAUGGCUCGACGAUUGCCUUUCACUCAAUAAGGAAAGUGAGGAUUACAUGGUUUUGAAUUUUAUAGGAUCCAUGCUCAGGAGAUUAUUUUUUGUGCAUUUGUAAGUUUAUAUUGAUCAUUUCAUGGACUGGUAGAAUUCUCAACUUUCUACUAGACAUGCAUUUAUUCGUACUAUAGGAGUUUACCCAAAAGCUAUUUUUGUUAUAAAUUUCUGAAGGCUUACCAGGUUGCACAUUAAUUAUCACUACAGACAGGUACUACUAUUUUUGGAUCCAUUGUAGGAGGCUCCAGCAUUGAAGAACGGCAUCGGUGUGCACAAGAAGUUGCACAAAGAAAUGUAUCAGGUCUGGUCAUUUUACUAGUAUCUUGUUUUAUGUUUGUGUCGUGUUUCGAGUUAUUAGCUUACCUUCUGAGCUAGUAUCUUUUAUUUUAGACUCAUUUCAAUGGUUGUUUGACUUUACAACAACUUUUGAGGCAGAGUGGUGAUAACAUUGGCUUUGUCCUCCCUUUAUAAUCGUCCUACAUUUGCUGCUUCAUAUUCAGCAGACUUUAAGUGCUCUCGAACCCCUCUACUAUGUAGAGUUGAAUCUAAAUUGUGCUCUUUAAGCCGGAAUCUCUGACAGGAAUUGCGAAUUCCUGGUUUUUUAAACAGUCUAUUGUCCCUUCAUAUUAAAAUUCUGGAAUUUGAAAAUUUCUGGGAUUUCAAAAAUUCUGAUUAGAAUACAAAAUCCUGUCUUUUAAAAACAAUAAAUUUAAAAUUAAACAUUCUAUGUUCUUGAAUUUCAAAUUCAAAAGCUCGUGAAAAGAACAAAACCUUAAAUAUCAACUCUUUUUCAAUAAAAACUUCAAAGUAAACAUCGACUCGAGCUCUAGCAGUACCACAAACUCUAAUACAAGGUCUAGCCGUGUUUCAAGUACAUGACUCUCAGUGGAGUGUAGCAUUUAAGAGAUCUUCUGUAGCCCUUUCCCACAAAAGAAUUGCAGGGCUUAUUGGGCUUGGUUUGUUGCUUGAAAACCAGUACAUAGUCCUAUAUGCUUAGGUUAUAGAAAGAUGAGAUUUAAGUUAUUUCAAGCACUAGAAAAUUUUAUUUGAAAUCAUUAUGCUGUGUAUAAAAAAAGGACAAACAUAUUGGUCUGUCUUCCUUUCCAUCUGGAAUACUCCAACUCAGGGUUGUUGAAUUUGUUGUCAUUAAUAGUACAAACAUUUUUAGAGUGCACGAUGCUUUGUGGAUCUUAGUGAGGAAACAGAGACUGGAACACUCGGAUUUCAAAUUUCUUGUCAAUUGUACAAUUAGAAUAUGAAAAUUGGCUUGCAGGAUAUUGGAUUGGUGGGUUUGGGCUUGGAGAAAGUAUGGACGAGCGGGCUGCUCUUCUCACUGCUGUUACGGUAAGACUUAAAUCUAGUGCUAGAAACAUCAUUUCAUAUCAUGAUUUGUCUACGGUGAUGUUGGCUAAUUCGUUGAUUCAACAUGAUUGUUUAAUUGGAAAUAUGAGAUAAUAUUUUGCAGUUACUAAAGGUUAUUAAUUGCUGGAAUACUUAUGCUUUUGCUUGUCUGCCUUUAUUAAAGGCUCGUUAUCCAAUAAUGUGAGUACAGGUUUUCUAGAGAUUCCCAACAUGCUGCUUUAAGGAUUUGUUGAUGCUAGCAUUGUAUUGACUUUAUUUCAAAAAGUCCAUGGGAGACUAUGUGAUUGAUGGAAUGGUAGCUCAAUUUAUUUCAAGCAUCACUUUGCACCAGAUAUCAUUGAAAGUGCCUGUUGUCACACAAAAUCUGAUGAUUAGAAGAUAUUCAGUGUUUGCUAAUGUCAUUCUUGAACCUGAAUAGAAAGCAUUAAUUGUUCAUUGUUGUCUAUGCAUCAUGUGUCAAUAAUGAAGUCAGACUUGCUUUCUUUCAGAGGGCUUUAAUCGGCUGAUGUGUCGAGUUAAUCAGCUCAAGUUCUGCUGUGAUUGCAACAUUUGAAGAAAAUGAGCAUUGUUAAAAAGGCGUAUUGUAGAUUCCUAUGGGAACUAGAUUAUAAGGAAUCCAUUAGAUAUCAAUUUGGUGUAAGCAUUAAUUUCAAGUUAGUCCAGUUGAAUUACCUAAGUUAAUCCUAUGCUCAUCAUUGAUUUAGUUUAUCUUGAUCCUUUUGCAUAAUGUGAUCAAUUGUGAGAAUGAUGCUUACAUUUAUUUGUUGGUUUGGGCUUAUCAUCAAUGGACCCAGGACAAUUUACCAGAGGACAUGCCAAGGCAUGUCUCUGGACUUGGACUUCCAGGUAAGGGAAAUUAUUUCAAACCCUUAACUUCUUUUUUUCCUUUGGGUUUUUUUUGGGGGGGGGGGGGGGGGGGGGGGGGGGGGGGGGGGGGGUGUGCAUGAUGAAAGAUUUUGUUUUGAGCCUCAUGUUUGAUCAAAUUAUGAGUUAAAGAAUAAAUUAGUUUUGUUCUUCAUCAACUGCUUAAUCAUAUUGCCAGUCCUAAAAAUAAUCUUUCUUAAUGGGACUUUUGUUAUGCUUUGAGCAUCUGGGAUUGUGUGUUGUUCAGCAAAGCUAUUUUCUGUCAACAGAGGAGGUAUUGCAGGGAGUUGCUGCAGGCAUUGACCUAUUUGACUCUACGAAUGUUGGUAGUUUAACAUUCUUGAACAUUUUACUGGCUACUCAGGAAAGUAACUAAAAGCUGUCAGGGUUAUAACAGGUAUGUUUACCAUCUUACACUUGGUGGAUUUGCUCUAACCUUCCCUCUUGAGAGAAAUAAGGGUGAGAAUGCCGAUUACCAGCUAAGUGAUUCGGGAGGUGAUGGCAUGAAGAUCAAUCUGAAAGCUACUGUAUAUAGGUAAUAACAGAUCUGGAAACCUCUGGAUGCUUUCUGCUAGUAUAUAAUAUAUGUUAGUUGAGCAUGCUGAGACAAGUAUCAUGAGGUGUUCUUCCUUUUUUCGUUUUGACAGGAAAGAUACAUCACCAAUUGUUGAAAGCUGCAUCUGCUUCACAUGCCAGAAUCAUACAAAGGCAUAUUUGAAUCACUUGUUCAACGUUCAUGAAAUGUUGGCACAAACUCUAUUGGAGAUGUAUGAAUUCUCUUGGAACCACUGUUAUUUCACUGUCAUGUACUUAUCUAAUAUGAUUAUCUCUGGCUGUGUUCCAGACACAACACACACCACUAUCUGGGAUUCUUCUGCUCAAUUAGAAAGGCUAUUGAAGAAGGCAAGUUUGAGCAAUUCCGGAGGAACUUUGUUGAAAGUAGACGUGACCGUCUCUUUGCUGCUGCAUCAAGUGCUUAACUUGUAAGUUUUUAUAUGAGAUUCUGUUCAACACUUCAACGUAGGCAUUUUUCUUUAAAGAAACCACACUCCUUCUGUAGAUGAGGAAGAGUACAAUGAACGCUGAUUGACCUUCUUCUUGUACCAAUUAAUUCAUCGUCUAUUUCUUCGUUUCGUUGGCUGCAUGGUAUUCAGACCCUUUUUUCUUUUCUUUUUUUUUUUUUUUUGUUUUUUUGAAAUCUGAAUUUUGGUUUGGCACAACAAUUGCUCGUGGUGGUGACUUGUGAGGUAUAGAAAUCAACAGAUCUGUUGAAAUCGGGUACUUAAUUUGUGGUGCUAGUGAUCUAUUCGUGCAUUGGCUUGCAGGAGAUCAAAGGAAUUCAUUCUGGACUCUCUGAUGAUGUUGUUAAUACUUUUGAUGACCAAAUGGAAUGUGCUAUUUUUUACGAGGAAAUGUUAAGGUUGUACCGGAAAGAAGGGAGGUGGAUUACCAGUUACUGGUUUUGAGCGAUUUUGUGGUGUUGAUAGUUAUAGAUGCCGUGAACGGUGCUAGUUAUGGAUGCAGUGGAUGGAUUUGUAAGGAACGUUUCCUUGCAUGCUCGUUAAGUUUUUGAUUUGGGGGAUUGAAUUUCAUAAAUUUUCUUAGCUUUCUGGACUCCUCUAUGAAGUCCUCUCCAUGUUGAAAAACCAGGAGUAGAAAGAAGAAGAGACAGCUCUCAGAUAUGUACUACAUACGUUGCUUUGUUUCCAUCAGUUCCCCACCAGUCUGGCGGUGGUUGGAAUUAUGAGCAACAGAGUACGAAGCAGGCAUGUCCGUGGUACCGGAUGCAGGAUGGGCACUCAGAGAACAGGCUCCCGGGUCCAAAAGGACAGGGCCAGCUUGAUUGCGUCUCGAGGGACCGGACUGGCAUUUGCUUACGUUGAAUAAUAGUUUGAGUGAGUCUUUAAUUUGUCACUUCUUUCCGACCAAAUUUUCUUUUCUUUUUUUUCCGUCUGAAAACCCUUGAGGUUGACCAAGAAAACAUGUGCUCGUGACCAGAUCAUAUUCGGCUGCAUACUUUGCACCCAUGUCCGCACGUUCAUAUUGUGUCGUGUACACUGCGUGUCAUUUUUUUUCCCCCUCAAAACAUGGCUCUUUAAGAUUGUGUAGGGCUUUGUUUCAAGAAUACAUAACGAGGUACGAGAUAACACAUAGGAGCUGGUCACAGUGUCUGCUAUUAACUAUCAGAUUACGGAAUUAGUCUAAUAGUGUGCGUCAUUUAUUUUAGAAAGGUAUGUACUGGAAACAAGGAUUUUAAAAAAAAAAAAAACAAAAUAAGGAGCGAGCCAUUCAAUCCACAUGUUUUUUUUUUUUUUUUUCUAGAAAUGAUAGGCAUUUAAUCAACAUGCAGUGGUUCAAAUUUUAGGUAGAGUAAAAAAGUAUUUUUUGGGGGCGGGGUGGUUGUUGUGGUAAGGUAAUAAUCACUUUGAUGAUUGGUUGAAAUAGGUGGGUAGGAUACGAAUAUGAUCAUUUUUUUGUGUAGCUUUGAACUUGUCUUUGAUUAAGAUAAGGAAUAAAAAAAAAAAAAAAGACGACCCUGGACACUGCAUCUCUGGCCGGAUUCGGCAAAGUCAGAACAGAAGCAAAGACUUUACAAUCUUCAACCUUGAAUGGCUAAUACAAAGUAGUAAUAUUAUUGCUGGUGUUAGUAAUAGUUUAAUUAGUAUUAGUACUACCACCUAGUUCCGCGCCUCCAGACGAAGUCUCUCUCUCUCUCUUUUUUUUUUUGGUAAAAUAUUUAUAUAAUCUAAUUUAUUCUAUUCUAUAAAGAGGAAGAAUUAAAGAGACUGUGAAAAAGGAAUAGCAGAUAGUCAAAUCUGAAAUCACAUUCUAGAUGAAGGCCUUUUGGAUUUGUUGGUUGGUGGGGGGGGGGAGGAGGGGAAGCUUCAAUCAAGCCAGGCCAAAAUAUCUUAUCGCAGGACUGACUAUAAGUCUACUUUGCUUGCAUUGACUGACUUUUCUUCAAAGAUUUUGGAGCAACUCAUAAAUAAGAUGAAAAGGAUGUAAAGUUAACAAGGACUUUGAUUUGCAGAUUCUCUCUGUAACUUAUUUGACAUAGGAAAUAGACAGUAGUCAUCUUUGGAAUUGGAACGAUUUCAGGAUAGCUAUCCUGAAAUGAAAUCUAGAGAAGCUCCCUGAAUUUGCUUUGGCUAUGCAGGACAUCUCCUUUUGUGUCUGUCUUGGUAGAGUAAAAACAUGCGUGCAAUUAUUCAGGACAUCUCCUGCUGUCUUAAGAACCAAAGAGGAUGCGACAGUAGUAGUAACAUUCAACCAACUAAAAUCACGGCCACAUCUUCAGGGGACUGGACCGGAGAGACCUCAUUCUCAGACCCCGCGGGGUGGGUUUGACUAUCGUGAGGACUUGAAAUUUUGAAAGCAAUUUUAUGAAUCCGGUAUCAAUUGUCAUUGUCAUUCGUAUAACGGUCAACCCCACCAUUUUUAUCGUCCAAUCACUGAACUAUAUUAAUACUAAUAACAAUAACAACAAUGAGGAGUGCAUAUGUAGUGGUAAUAAUUAUGAGUAGAUCUCAUGGACACUGACUGACAGUGUGUACACUAUCACGAUUGGAUAUAAGAUACAUGAGCAAUAAUUUGAAAUUUAAGUUUAAGUUCGGAUGAAUUGUCAUGCAUCCAAUCCAGUGGUGAUGAUGAGUAUUUAUAUACUGUCAGUCAGUGUAUAUAGAAGAUUAAUCCAAUAAUUAUUACCCUAAUAAAAUUAUCAACAAAAUAUGAAACACAUAAACCGCUCCUACCAUUUCCCAGAAACAUCAGUAGUAUAAUUUAUAUGUAUUAGCGUGGGUGCUAGAGGAUUAAAUCUUAAUCCCGACUCUCAAUUCAGGAGUAUUAGUACUAGAGCAACCUCAAUAAUACUUAUUAGUAUUAGAGCAGUACUAUUAGUGUACUUAAUAGUAGUAAUAAAUGAAACCUCUGAUGAUCAUGCAACUCCCUCACGAAACAGGGUCGAAAUGUCGUAUCAUGUAUGGCGGCAAUAUGGUCCCACACGCUCCUCCUCUUUCUCUUCUCUCCCCUUCGGUAAUAUCAUCUCAUCUUAUGUACCGAGUAACUGGAUGCUGAUAUCAACUUCUGUGUUGAAAAAAUGAAUACUACAUAGAGACUUACGACUAGUUGAAGUAUUUCUUCUUCUUAUUAGUAGUAAUCAUCUAGUUACAUAUAAUAGUAGCCAAAAAAAAACAAACGCGACAUAGACUACUACUAGUAGUACAAUUAGCUAAGAGAAGGAAGGGAAGGGAAGGAAGAAACAAGGAAGGAAAGGAGGAGAGUACUGGUGGCGGCGCUUGGAUCGAUUGCCAGUUGGUGGCCAGAGCCUCUGAGAGAGAGAGAGGGGCAUAUAGAUAUAAUAGCCUAACUAAAAAGUAGUGAGAAUACUAAGGAAGGAAAGAAGGAUCCAUCAUCAAUAUUGAGAAUAUUGAUCAUGGCAGGAGGAGGUGAAGGAGAAGGACUUACCUUGGAGUAUACACCGACGUGGGUGGUGGCUCUGGUGUGCACCGUUAUAGUCGCCCUCUCUCUCUUUGCCGAAAGGGUCCUCCACUAUGCCGGCAAGGUACCUAUUUCCUGCCUCCCUGCAUAAUAUACUACUCCUACUGUCCUACUAUAUAUAUGUAUUAAAGCAAGCAAGCUAGCUAGCUGCUGCUCAUCCAACCUUUCGUUCAUUUUUUCCUUCAUGAUACAACAUUGAUCGCAUUCGUGGGCUAACUAACAAAUUCUUCUUGAUCGGUUGGUGAAUGGUGAUGGAUGGCUGUCCUCCGCCUCCGCGUACGUGUGCAGUAUUUGCUGAAGAAGAAUCAGAAGCCGCUGUAUCAGGCCUUGCUCAAAAUCAAGGAAGGUCCGCCCUCUGCAUCACCUUCCAUCUCUCUUUUUACAUAAAUGAUAUCACCACACCACACCGCACCACGCCAUUCUGCUAAUAUUAUGGAAUGAUCGGGAAUGAUUGAUUGAUGACUCUUCUUUUUUUUUUUUUUUAACGAUCAUCUUCUCUCUUGGGACUCGGCGUUCAGAGUUGAUGCUACUGGGCUUCAUAUCUCUCCUUCUCACCGUGUCCCAAAGCAGAAUUAAUGAGAUAUGCAUCGCCAAGCACUUGACCGACGACUGGCUUCCCUGCAAGAAGAAAGAUGAUACCUCCUCCUCAACCAAUUCCCACCUCCAGACUACCUCCGCCUUCUUCUCCUCUCUCCUUCCCGGACCAGGAGGACUCCACCGCCGCCUUCUGGCUGAGGCAUCAUCUACUCAAGGCUACUGCGAAAAAAGGGUACUGCCCUGCUAACUACUCACCUUGUUGCCCGCCUAGCUAGCUUAUUCAUUCCCUUUCGCCCGCCGACUUUUCUCCUCAACUUUCCAGAGGAAGUUAUUAUGCUUCAUUUCAUAUAGUAAAACAGUUAAACAUAUGCCACUCACUCUCUCUGUUGCUAAUUGGGAAAUCUUCUGAAACUCAAUUUUAAGUCCCGCUCUUUCUUUUGCCAGGUUCUGGAAUUUCUGCAUUAUCAUCCAUCAGACUUUUAACUCCAAAAUUUUCCUAACCACUUUCUUGCCUUUUGCAUCAGGGGAAGGCACCGCUGCUAUCUCUCACAGCUUUGCAUCACCUUCACAUCUUUAUAUUUGCACUGGCCGUUUCUCAUGUCAUCUUCUGUGCGCUAACAAUUCUAUUUGCCAGUGCAAAGGUAUGUAAGAUGGUAGUAAUAUUUAAACAAGUUUCUUCAUUAAUUAUUUGUUAUCAAUUUUAUUUGCUCUCCAAACUGCAGAUCCGCCAAUGGAAACUCUGGGAAGAUGCUAUUCAGAAAAAGGAAGAUGACCCUGAGCAAGGUACUUGAAUUUCUUAGUACUGCUUCAGCUUUGGAUUCUCCUCCCUGCACCCUUGGAAUCACUAGUCAUCGCAUAUCCGAUGUAUAUCCAAUGCAUAUUGGCACUUCAAUUUGGUACUUAUAAGCCACUUGAAACAAGUUUCAUGUACUGAUAAGCAAUACAUGUUGCAACAAACAUCCCAAUCAGUGUCACCUCAUAUGACAGGCACAAUUUCACCCUGUGCAAGGUCUUCAUGGGCCGUGCUUCCAUUCUGUCUCAGCAUAUGCUUUUGGGAAAGCAAUAAUAUGUUUUACUCAAGUCUACUGAUCAAGUCUACUGAUUAUUUCUCACCUACCAAUAUUCAAUUUAAGUUGCAAUCUUGGGAACUUAAGAUGUUUCUUAUGCAGCUGAGCGGAUGAAAUUUACCCACGUCCAGGAACAUGACUUCAUCAGGGACCGAUUUCUGGGCUUUGGAAAGGACUCGGCUGCACUUGGUUGGGUGGUAAGUUGAAGUUGAAGAAUUAUGUGUGAUGAAACUUAUUUGCUUUCUUGCUAAUUUAACAAUAUAAAACAAAAAACAGUAAAAUGGCAACAAAAUUGUUUCCUUUAUCGUAGAUUGUAUGUGUACUUAGUGUGCUAGAAACAAUUUCACUCUUCCAAAUGUAGUUCUCCUACGCGAUUUGGCCAACCUUAUGCAUUUCAAUGACAUUGUGUUUGGAUGGAAAUACUCAAUGGCAGGAAACAUCAAUGCAGUAACAACUGUUGGUUGUCUAUUGCAUUGAGAGACUUCCAAAAUUAAUCAGAUAGAAGUCAGAAGGAAAGAAACCUGACAGAUAACUGGCGAAGUAACAUCUGUUGUCCAUUGCCUAUCUUCAAAUGUGAUCUAAUGAGUUAUAUACAUAUUCCCAGCGCAUAUAGUACAUAUAUCAGAGUUUUCUGCUGUUAGGUUGUAAAUAAAAAGUCUGCUGAUUUAUUUAUUCUGUGCAUGACCGUCCUCAUGCUUCACAUGACUUUCGUUAUAUGAUUUCCUCUAAUGCAUCAUGUUGAACUACAAACUGGCUGGAUCUUUGAUCUUAACAUAAAGGUUGGAUUUAAGCAUCACCAGGAUAUAAGGUAGGGGUAUACGUUGCCCAAAAUCAUGGCUCCUCUUGCACUGUAGACUACAUGAUAAACUUUAAAAAAUGUAUAAGUUGAAAGUAGACCAAGUAUCUGAGCCUAGUUUGCCACCAGAUGAACUGCUUUUGUAAAUAUGUCCAAGGUGAAGCAGCACUUGCAGGUCUGCCAUAGCUUAGCACUAAUUCUCUUGAUGCAAACAGAAGUUCACAGUUUUCUGUCAUGCAGAAAGUAACACAAUGCUCUAGUUUGGUGCCACUUUCAAAUUACAAUUCCGAUGAUCACACAAAUGAAUAUACAGGGCUCAGUUUACACAGAUGCUUAGUUCCCUCUCCUAGUUAUUCUCUUGGUUAGUGUAGUUCUGAAUUUUAAUCACUAAGAUUACCACUUCUGAGUUUUGAGGAAAUACCCCCAUCAUUACUGUUACUGAAGUAGUGGACAUCCCAGCCAUUUUUGUUACUGAAGCAGUAGACCCCAAAAAUGCCUCAUGUACAAGAACCCAACUUUAUCUGAAAAACUGGAGCCGUUCACUCUGCACUUUCAAGGCAUGUGCGGAACAACAUAAGCUACUGAUUACCCUAACUGAAAGACAUUUUCAUGACUCUAUGCCGGUUGUACCUUAUGGUUCUUCACAAUUAGCAACAGGAUUAUAUUAUACUAUUUUUUUCAUAUAAGUUGAAGUAAAGACAAAAUGUUCAAUCCCAGAGGCCAGGAGGACUUCACAGUUUGGUCUCUACUCAUUUCAAUCAUGAACAUAUAAAAAGUCACCUGCUUUUGAUCAACAGAUAUCAAAAUCAAAAUGAAUAGAAGCCACAAUACUAUGUUGUCAUGCUUCUAUAAAGGGGUUCAUAGGACGGAAGUACAAUAUCUUUCUGAACCAAAGCAUUUCCACAAUGUCUAAUUAGAAAUUGUUUCCAACCUGGUUUACAGGCUCCAGGUUCUAGCAGUAUUUCAUUUUUCUUUCAAGGCCUUUUCCGUGGAGACAAGAUGCUCAUGUCCUUAGAUUUUCCCUAAUUGUUGCACAUGUACCUUGAAAACAAUUCCAAAAGUGUGAGGCCAAUGGGAAAACUCACAUUUCAGGGUUUAGAAAGUUUAGAUGUAUGAAGUCUCAUUUCAAGUAUCCAGAAAGAGAGUGGGUUUGUUUUAUACCUUGUUUUCAUGAUAUUGUUUCUGUGGUUGGAACAUUUGAUGCCUGGAUCAAAGUGGAAGAAAUUAACUUGCUGUUGUGCGAAUGCCUGGCGUCUAAGCCUCAAGGCCACAUGCAUCACAAUAAAAAAUAUGAGAAUCAAACCAUUAUGGCUUCCAAAUUCUGGGCCUAAUACAUUUUUUCUUUUUUUGUGGCUUUUAAGGUGAUUAGAAGUUUCAGAUUGUCCUUUCUAACUGAGGAAAUCAAGUUCAUUAACAUUUUUAUGUUUCCUUCACCUGCAGGAAUCCUUUUUUAAGCAAUUUUAUGGGUCAGUUACUGAAUCGGAUUAUACCACUCUGCGAUUUGGCUUCAUUAUGGUGAGUUGAAGUAUACCAUAGUCUAUACUUCUAAAGUUAACUUCUGUUUCUGUACUCAUUCACUAACUUGUCUGAUGUCCUAAUUUUGCUAGACUCAUUGUCGAGGAAAUCCAAAGUUUAACUUUCACAAGUACAUGAUACGUGCCCUUGAAGCGGAUUUUAAGAGAGUUGUUGGAAUAAGGUAACUCCAAACUAAGCUCAUUGCACACCAUAUCUGUUGAAAACAGACCAGGUAGCUCUUCAAUACUUGCAUGAUAUUUUCUUGUACACCAUUUUGAUAUGAGCAGCAACAUGGUGCAUAAAGCUGCAAAACUUUACUGAUAGGAAGUUAAUUACAUUCAAUUUUUAUAUUAUCUUGAUUUUCAAAAUGCAAGUGAUUCAUUGGCAACUACAUUAGUGCUGAAGUUUCGUGGUACAACCUUAAAAAAGGAACGUAUUGGCCCCUUUCUCUUCUUUCUUUCUCUCAUUGCUUCGCUCCUUCAGUACCUUUUGUUCUUAUCCUCUCUUUGUACUUGACUUUUUCUCCAUCAUUUGAUUCGGUGGACAAUGAAAGCAUUUCUUUCUCUCUUCUAUGUUGUUAUGAUUUUUUGAAGAGGCAGCUCCUUAUCUUUUGUUACCUUCCUUCAGAAUUGAAUCAUGUUCUGGCAUAUGAGUGAUUUGAUCAAGCUUCAGUGUUUUGGUUACUCUUCUUAGUCUAGCAUGCACAAGAAGUGCGUUUGAACUUUAGAAUUGAUCCUUUUCUCUUUUUGAUGGAUCCUACUGACUCUGGACGUGUCUCAAAUGCAGCUGGUACCUUUGGCUAUUCGUUGUCCUCUUUCUUUUGCUGAAUGUGUAUGGUGAGAUGAUUCACUUAAUCCCCAAAAAAACUCACCUGCUCACCAUAUGAUGUGAAGUGUGAAAAAUGAUAUACUGAUUAACAAGAAUUCUGAUGCAUCUCCUGCAGGUUGGCAUACAUAUUUUUGGAUAUCAUUUAUUCCCUUCGCUGUAAGUAUACACUGCUACUGCUACCUACAUAGAUAAGAGCAUACAAGAAUUAAUAUCUCAAACUAAAAAAUGUUUUUUUUUCUCUCUGAAGAAAUGAGAUGGCAACGCAUUUGUUGAUUGACACAUUUAUGGAUGCACGAAAAUUUUUUUAAAAAAAUUGUUCUUCUUUUUCAACUUGGUGAAGCCUUGAGUUCCUUGAUCUCCAUAAAUCCAAGUCAAUCAAGUCCCCAUCAAAAUUUUGGAUACCAUGUUUAGAAGACAUAUGGUAUUUAACUUGUCUUCUUUGCGGUAAAGUGAGAUAGAUAUCCUUUGAACUUUGCAGCUGUUGCUUGCUGUGGGCACCAAACUAGAGCAUGUAAUCUCACAGUUAGCUCAAGAGGUCGCUGAGAAACAUGUUGCAGUUCAAGGAGAGCUGGUAGUCAGGCCUUCAGAUGAUCACUUCUGGUUUAACCGCCCAAAACUUGUCCUUCAUCUGAUUCAUAUCAUUUUAUUCCAGAAUGCCUUUGAGAUUGCUAUUUUCUUCUGGACGUGGGUAAGGAAAUCAUCUCGUUUUUCAAUGCUCCUUUUUUGCUCUGCCCCCUCCUAAAAGGAAAAGAUUUACACAAUGCUGCACCAAAUGACAGGCUCAGUACAAAUUUGAUUCUUGCAUCAUGGGAGCAGUUGGUUUUGUCAUCCCAAGACUUGUUUUAGGGUGGGUAUAAUCACCGCCUUUCAAUCUCUCUCUAGUUGGGAUGAAGAGUGUAGGAAAUGUUAUUAAUUGAAGCUGCUAAUGUUUCUUGUGUAUGUAGGGCGUUUGUGCAGUUCAUUUGCAGUUACAGUACAUUGCCUCUGUAUGCAAUUGUGACACAGGUUAAGCUACGUUUCAUCUAGGCUUCUGUGGUUGGUUAGUGGAGUCCAUUGACAAAGAUCCACCUAUCUGACAUGUUUUUCUUGCUGUUUUUCCGGGGGGAAAAAAAAAUAUAUAUAUAUAUACAGAUGGGAAGUACAUUCAAGAAAGCUAUCUUCGAGGAACACGUACAAGAAGGACUCGUGGGUUGGGCGCAAAAGGCAAGAAAGAACAAGGGCAUGAGGAAGGUGGUGAAUGCCUCUUCCACACAAGUUGGUCCCAAGGAGUCUCCCUCGGUAGAGAUGACACAAACACAGAAUGAGUCGGCGAGUAGAACUCUGCUGGAAAAGAACAUUAAUAAAGCUGCCGGAGAAAUCGAACCUGUAACUGAACUGCAUGAAACGCCACUCCCCUCAGCUUCUGACAUCAGACAUGCUGAUGCAAAUGACUCGCGAUAACAUGACAAUUGCAGAAUACGUGUGAAAUCUUGCUCUUUUACUGUCAUAUCUUGCUGCAAUUGUUAAUUGUGAAUUGCGGCUUGUACUACAUUCCUUGCACUUUUGAGGGAGCAUGCAGUAUAGCUAAAAUUCUAUAAUCCCUUUUGGAAUCAUUCCCUCAAAUUUGUAUUUCUAGAUGAGAAUAGUUCUCUAUAUUUCAAAUGUGUAAAACUGUUACAAUCUAUGGGCCAAAAAUACUUGUUUUACCAUCGGACGGCGAAUUUAAACAUGGCAGGCAGAAACCAAACAAUCUAACUCAAAACUAGAACGAAUAAAUUACUGGGCAGCAUUAACACUACUCCUAGCUCUUCUUAGCCUUCAAUUCUCGGCAAAUACUCCACGUGAAGAGGUUCUCAUCUCAGGACUCGAUUGAAUCCAGCCACACCGUCAAAAGCAAUUCCAUCUUCAUCUUUACAAGGAUUUCUUUGACGAGUCUUGUGCAAACUUUACCAGUUGCCCAAUUGCUUUUGAAUCUUAGAAUUGUGAGAGGACCGACCUCCCUUAUCUUUGUAAGAAUUUCUUGAUGUAAAAUUCUUUCUUCCCCCUUGGACUGCUUGAAUGGCCCGCCUUCUCUGCUUAUUGAGACGUUUUGUCAGUUCUGGCUCAUUCUCAUGCUCAGUUUGCCUGUCCUCCUCGGGAACAGUUCCAAGAUCAUUCGGUCCCUCAUUUUCAGAAACAACAUCCUGUUUCAUUUCUGUAUCUUCCUUAGAAGUCUCACCCUGUUCAACUGGAUUACCUUCCUCCUGCAAUAAAAUUAUUCUUUGCUCAAAAGACAAGUUUCUAAAUCAAGACUGAUAUCUUGAAUGUCCAAGAAAGCAUUUAACAAGUAACACAAGUCAAAGGUUGAAGGGCGCUAGUUACUGCUUGUAUAGCUUCCAGUUAAUUCAGAUGCUGGCACUACUAAUACGAUAACCAACAUUGAGUUGGGCAUCCCAACAAAAAUAAUCAAAUUAUGACAUCUAUUAUACUGCAAAAGCCUGCUAGAUGACAUAGUCAAAUCAAGUAUAGUAACGACUGACAAUUGAACAAAAGGUAUCUGUUAUGUGAUCUAAUCCACAUGAAAAUGAGAAGCUAUAAUUGAGGAUAUGCUUCCAAUUUCACUAGGAAUCAUGAUGACUAAACUAGUAUUACUGAAAGCACUAACAUCAAAUGGAACUAUAAAAAAGUCUACGAUCAUGGUGCCACAGCAGAGAUAACAUAUAAUUUCUCUAUUACCCAAUAAGAUUAAAUCAGGACUUCCCACACAUCCCUAGAGUAGUGCUGGAUAAUUUUCUGAUUGGCCUUUUAGUCGCUAAUAAAAUUUUGAUCCAAAAUGAUCCUGAGCCAAGUAUCAUCCCCAGUUACUACAAGUUGAGAAUGAUAUUCACAGGUUAAUAAUUGCUGACAUGUCCCAGCUUGAUAGCUACACAAGGCAAAUGAGUUGUAACAGCAGCAAGUAGGAACCAAACUAUAAACUGAAUUUUAGGAACAUUUUUACUAGUUGAGUUCGAAUACAAAAUCUGCAUAAAGACCCAUUACUUCCAGCCUGUUUACAUCUAAAUGAUAUAUUUUGCCACCAAAUUCCAACUGAUGUCACAAAGUUCAGGUACUCUAAAAUAUAAACCAGAAAACCUUGAUUUGAAAGUUUUCCUUGAUCAGCAAAAUCAUUAGCAAUUAAGAAACUACCAUCAACAAGCUCAAGGAAUCAAAUACCUCAAAGUGUCCUUCAUCUUUCUCAAUGGGCUCAUCUGCACUUUCUUUGUCAUCAGAAUCCAGAUCCUUCUCAACAUCAUCUCCUGUAAACUGCAAUAUUAUGCAUUACAUAUAUGUAACCCAAAAUCAGUCAGUAUCACGCAUUUUGUACAAUCAAUGAGUUCAAAAAUUAAUGCCAAGGCAGCAAUCAAGAAGCCCUAACAUUCAACUCGAUUGUGGUAUAAAUCAUUAGUUUAUGUUAAAACCACAUAUCAAACUUCAAAACCGCACCAAGCCUCCAGAGAUUUUUGUAGUUACCUUAGGAGUCUUAAUUUUUGUAAUUUCUAAUAAAGAAUGAUCAUUUAUUGAGAAUUUCAUCAUUCGCAAAAUGGCAAAAACCGAUUCAUACCCGUUCAAUAUCAUCCUGAUCCUUUCUAGUGAAGCCACUUGCAGAAAGUUCCUUGUCUAAGAAACCAGUAACUUUCUUAAUAUCAGCAAAGCUAGGCCUGCCAACUUCCUCUGAGUCUACCUUGGAAUCAUCCGAAUGACCAGCAUUUUCCUCGAAAGACAGGUUGAACCUGCAGCAGUUUACCAGAAAAGGAAGUAAGACAAUCGCAUUAACAAUUAUGCCAGGUCCGAAAAGAUAACAGAUAAGCUAAAUAAUGAUAUUAAUGCAACACAGAAAAACCUCUGACAUAAUGAGCCCUAAGAAAACUUUGAUAAGCCAUCACUAAACCAUUUUAUUUUUGUUUCUUGGAUAACAGAUUUCUAAAGUUUAGCUUCUAAAGUCAUUUUUUCCAACAGAUUCUCCAGCUCCAGCAUCAAAUGAAUUAACAUGACCAUAUCAAAAAACAUAAUCCCCUAAUGCUACAACGUUGUUGGAUAUCAUCGUAUAGCCUAAUUUCUAUUUGCAGUUGCAACCCCACAAUUAUCUUGUGAGCAAUCAAUUAGCAAUGGCUAUAUCAGCACAUCAACUAAGUCACCUGGUCAAUAUGCCUGAAGUUCAGUGUCCAAUUGUACAUACUGCCAGUUUACUAAAACAACUUUCCAGUCAGAUUUCUAGCCAUCAAACUGUCAAUGCUAGCAGAAAAAAUUCACUAACCUCUUACUGAAAAACUUGAAGAUACAUUCUACAUCACGAUCAAAGUACCUGAAAGUUGGAACUCUUAUAAGAAACAAUGAUGACAAUUGACAGUAUUUAGAGAAUGAAAUGAUGCAACAAGCAAGGGGGACAAAAUAAAAAGACAAGCUAGAGUGUACAUCAGUAGCAAUAAACAUACAUCUGAGCAUUGUGAUGAGAGACUGACACCAUUUGUGGGAAAUCAAUCAUUGUCACCUUUUCAUCAUCAUCAAUCUAACACAAGCAAAACAGCAAGGUUAAAGGCAAGGCAAAACACAUGUGGAGCUAGAAAUAGAAGUGCUAUGUUCAGUCACAGCAUUGGAAUUACCUAAUUAUCUUGACAAGUAAAAGUAACCUUUUCUUUUUUGGGUAAGCAAGUUGCCAGAAAUAUAAGUGGUUAAGUAAAGACAGUCGAGACAGAUAGGCACCUUAACAGCCCAUCAGAAAAAGAAAAUUCAAAAAAAACAGGAGACUUCUUUUACUUUUUCCCUUUUUCUAAUGAGUACAAAUGAAAAAUAUUGCACGCGUAAUAUAAUACUUAUCAGCAUACCAUGAUGUUGAAUUCGUUAAAAUCGCAGUGAAUAAGCCCAUGCUCAGCAAGACGAACAACAAGGCCAACAAUCGUUUCAAAAACCGUAUCUGGGUUCUGCAGUUCCUUAACCUGUACACUACAUUACAGCAGGAAAUAACGUUUAACUGUGCCAGAAAAGCAUCUUGCAUGAAAUCCAAAGGUACACAAAUAAGGUAUACUUAAGAGAAAAGAUGCUAUUGCAGCAGAUAGCCACUAAUUCUUAAGUUUCAGCAGAACAUUCAAUAAAAAUUCCAUCCUGAUGAGUAAUGCCUAACAGAAAUUAUUCCUGACACGUGCCAGCCCAGACUAGUUGAGCAACAGAAGUUUGGUCCAUAAGGGGAGAAGCUUUCCAUGUAUUCUAGUUGAUAUUUGAAAGUUUUGCUACUAGUCUUAACAUGAAAGUAGAAAGUUCAUCUUUUUAAAGUAUUUGCGGUUAUUGGUAAGCACUUACAGUGGGUAUCCUUGGAUGAGUGACAUAACAACACAGUGUCUGUUGCUAUCUACUGCAAGUGGAACAGGAAAGCCAUGUUCUUCCAAAGCCUGCUCAGUCAAACUAUCAGCUAAAUGUCACAAUCAGAAAAGCAGAAAGCGACAGCAGAGAGAGAGAGAGAGAGAGAGCUAAAGAACCUUCAUGAAGGCAAAUUCCUUGAGAGCAGCAAGGCGCGACAAAUAGAGCCAAUUAUAACUACUGCGAUGCUUCAAAUAAUCACGCUUAGACUUGACAGCUCUAAAAGAUACUCUACCAAGUCUGUGCAGCUUCAUUGCAAGGAUGGUGCCAUCUUCCUUGGCCACCUCAAAAAUAUCUUCAAUAAGGGGACAAAAUGUUUCAACAGUCUUUGUCAAUACAUUGAGAAUGAGAGCAGUUAAAACUCAAGAUACGAAAGAAAAGUAGGGAUUUUUAAGUAAACAACAAAGUUACCAGACUCUUUGCCGACACCAAUUUGACGACCAACGGCAGUGAAAACUCCCCGAUUAACCAAGGUUUUGAUAGCGAGGAAAUCAUAACCGAGGUAAGUGAGUCGAAAGCCAUCAUCUAACACACAUCAUAGAACAGAUAAUGACAAAUCAGAUUAUUGUUGUUGUACAAUUUAAUCAAGAUUUUUUUUCCAGGAAGCACAAGGAUUUACAAAUUUAUAACUCAGUGGGCAUCAGAAUGACAACAAUCGUGGAGCUGAAGUAAGAAGUAGGGUGGGGGGGGGGGGACAUACAUUUGGAGGAGUCAUGGUGCAAGAGCUUGUGCUUGAGCAAAUUCUUCAAGACCUUAUAAGUACCUCCGUGCCUUUCAAAAUGCAAAAGUAAGAAGGAAUAGUUUCAGACAAAGCAGAAAGCUAGAAAAGAGUUGAAUAACACAUAGCAGGUGAAAUUUGUGAAUAUAGCCGUAAGUGUGAAGUGACAAACGAGAACAGUUGUAGUAUAGAAAAGGGAGGGAAAAGAUGGGGACUUACUUGAGGGAGGCGAUUCGGUCAAUUAGCUCUGAGGGAACAAUCUCGUGCUGAAAAUAUAACAGAAAGAAAGCAAUUUAGAAAAGAAGAAGCAAAGAUGAAUAAGAAGCCGAAGAGAGAGAGAGAGAGAGAGACAUUGCGCAUUCCCAUUUCGACGGCGGUGAGAACCCUGAAAUCAUCCUUGGAUAGGUACCUCAACACGUCCACAUCCAACUUCAUCCUUUAUUACUUCUAGUAGUACAGCAGCCCGGCUACUUUUAAUAUGGAAAUCAACAAAAAGAAUAACAGGCGGAGGCGGAGGCGUGGGCGGCGGACGCCUGGACGGCCGGUGGUUGUGGUGGAGAGGGUACUUUUUAAGCGAGUUUAACCUGUCUCUGGAUUCAGUUGAGUUGAGGAUGAUGAUGGCGGCUUGCUUGCUAGUGCUGGACGGACUUUGAGAGAAGAAUUAUACACUUGAUUUUUUAGGAGUUGGGAGAAGAAGACCAAACCCAAACCCACAGCUGCUUUAUGUUAAACUGUUUGCUGCUACUGCAUCUAUGAUCUUACAAGAAGAAGUCGGAGGGACUCAGGAAUCAGGAAUAAAAAACACACACACACACACACACACGGGUGGUGUUGAGCUCAUAAACCUAAGAAGAUGAAGAAGCAUAACUGUCUUGUUUCGCUAUUUUGACCUUGGGCCUGGCCUGUCUAUUCUUAUCUGGACAUCCUCCACCCCAACUCUAAAAUUUUUAGGCUUGGAUGGAUGGAUCCACCAUCUCAGUUAAUGGGUAAUACUAAUAGAAUAAAUAGAUUUGCCAUGUAUGUCGAGUUCAAGUCAAAUCGAAUCGAUUAGUUAAAUUUGAGUCGAGUAUAGAGAAAUUCAGCGCGUCGAGGUGGCUCGAAAGUUAAAUUUGAGUCGAGUAUAGAGAAAUUCAGCGCGUCGAAGUGGCUCGAAAGUCUAUGUGCAUAUAUGUAUAUAAUUAUAGUGAAAUUCCAAUUAUAUUCCUAGUAUUUUUAUUAUUUAUUAUGGACAAAUGACUAUUUUAUUUAUUUUUAAAAAAUAGAACAAUUAUUUUUACAUUUUAAAGCUCAAAUAAGCUCUCGGCUUCUAGCUCAACAAGGGUCAAAUUUGAGAUCGAAUUGAAACUCGAGUUUUACAUUAAAAACUCAUCAAGCUCGACCUCGAAUUCGAACAUGGUAAAAUUGAAUCAGGAUUCGGUUCGACUAAACUAAAAUUUGAUUCGACUCGUUUGCGGUCUAGAACAUAGCAUCGAAUUGCUCCAUCUCAAGUUCAAUCUCAAAUUAGUUGCUAAUUCUUGAGGCUUAAAUAGAAUUCUAGAACAGAUAAUGAAAUUGAUUGAGAUCCCAAGCUCAAAUUCAAGUCUGACCAACAAAUCAGUGAAAUCCAGGCUUGCUACACUAAAAGGUGUGAUCGAAAGUGACUCUCUUACAACUCAUCUGCAUUGAGAAAAAGCAAUUUGUUCGUUUCCUUCCGAUGUUGAACAGUAAAGGACGAAAGGUCCCUUUUCCUUGAUAUUUCAUUUCAUCUGCUCCCCCCGCCUAUCUUCAAAACAACAUCCCUUUCUCUUGAUUUUGCACGACGUAAUUAUAAAAAUUGCUACUACAUGACAUAUGUAUAAAUGAUAGUAAGAAAUAAAAGAACCGUGUUGUAUUUCUGUGAAUAUGUAUUGAGUAGACAAAAUUUAUGAGAUGAACUGACUAAUUGGAAUUGGGGGAGGGGAGAGUUGAGGAUGGAUAUGGAAUGACGGGAUGAUGGGAUGUUUUUGGGGGGUUUUUUUUUUUAAUCCUGAAACACUACUGUGGAUUUACAGAUACGUGUAGGAGGCAUCCCGAGCGUAAGAAGGCAUAAAAGCCAAGACCAUGAGCAGUCCCAUAAUGCAGAUUGGAAGCAGAAGCAGGAGAAAUGGCGGAGGCGGCAGCGGUGGAAGGACGAGAGGCAGCAGCAGCAAUGACGCCGUCAGGCAAACCAACAGAAACAGCCCCUGGAAGCUCAGAUAACCGGAGCUGCCGGAGAACACCUUUUUCCCCUGCUGGGACAAUGACCGCCUGUAUUCUGUUUUCUUGCCUUCCGUCGUCGUUCCGUUCAUCAUCUUUUUCACAGGGAAAGCAUUUGUACCCCGGCCCCGGCCACCGGUAUUGAUAUUGUUCCCAGCAGCAGCAGACGUCGUUACAUCCAUGAAACUGCCGCCGGCCGAAUACAGAUGAUGAUGAUGCCGAGGAUGAUGGUCUUGGAACAAUCUCAAGUCUCUUGCUCCCUCCGAAGGCCGCCGCCCUCCAUCUCCAACACUACCCAUUUCCAACAUACAAUACAACCGACCAAUCCAGUAGUAUCAAGCAGCAGCAGCAGCAGCAGCAGAAGCAGGUUCGUCUUUAAUUAAAAUCUCAAUGCGGUACAGAUUUCCUGAUAAUUGCCAAUUAAGUUGAUGAUUGCUUAUUCCUAAUAUCAGUUGUUGAUUUGGCUGACAAUUUCUCCUUCUUGCAGUACUCUAAAACGAAUCUCCUCUGAUAUUGAGAGGAGCCCAGGAAUUGAGCAGCAGAUGCAAUAGAACAAGAGGAGGAAAUGAUAAAAUGGAUCGUCAAUAUCUGUUAUCUCUCUCUCUCUCUCUCUCCCCCUCCCCAACAAAUGCCAAAUUUGAAGAUGAGUUUGAUAAUAAUAAUGUAUGGGAUAAGCUAUAUUUAUUCGGGGAUAGGGAAUUGUUGGUAUCGGAGAAAGAAAGAAAGAAUGAGGAGAGGAAGAAUGUGAUCAUAAGGGGAUGGAGGAAGGAGGAAAGUUUAAGGCAAGUUAUUUGAAGAAGAAGGGAAGGGGUAUGGUACGUUAUCAGGGAAGGGAAAUCAGGGGGAAGAUGGGGUGGUUUCUGGUUUGAAAGGUGGAAUGAAUCAAGUUGGAAUGAGAAAUCGUGAGAUUGGAUUUCAGAAACCUCCCCCUCAAUUUUCUGACGAUUUCACUUGCCACCCAUAACGUUUAAGAAAAAUCACCUGUCUGACGAUUUUAAGAAAAAUCACUUUGGAAUGAAAGUUGCCCUUUAGUUGUGGUCCUAUAGUUGUAAUGACAAAUCAAUUUAAAAUCUCUUGACAUUUAAAAACUUGACGGAUGCAUUUUUUAAUAAAAAAUUAUCAAUUUUCACAAAUCUUAUCGAUAAUUUGGAGACGACUUUUAAAUUUAACAAAUUAUAAAUAACUAACAGAGCAUGCAAAAACUAUUUGAAAUAUUGUAAAGAUGAAGAAAAUAAAACUUUUUUUUUCUCAUUCUAAACAUCUCAAAUAAGUUUAAAUGUAAUUUUAAACAUUGAUCACUUUUUCUAAUUUUCAAGCCAUGGAUCUGGAUAAAAAAGAAUUAAAGAUUCUAAACGACUUGUACAAUUUAUUAAAUCAGCUCAAAACAAUUUACAUAAAAGAAAGGUUUCUGAUUCUCAUUUACUAAUCUAAAGCCACACAAUAAGCACAUGGAUAAAAUGAAAUUGAAGUUUUAAAAUCGUAGCUAAAACCCUAAAUUGCCGAAGAAAUCUACAAUUUUUCCAAAAGAAUAAUAAUAAUAAUAAUAUAGGGUUUCUUUUUUGUUAUGUGACUUUAGUUAGAGUGGCAAAUGGACAAACCCUAAAGGGAAAAAAUUCUGGUAGAUAAAUUUUUAUUAUUUGUUUGUACUUUAGAAAAACAUGACGUUUCUUAUUAUUAUUAUUUGUUUGCACAUUAGAAAAACAUACUAUUGCUUAUGAUUGUGACUGUUAUAUCUUGUCCCUUUAACAUACUGCGUAUGAUACAUCUUCAUGCCUCUAACAAAUGGAAAGAAAUUAUUUUUUAAUCAUCAUAUAAUAAUUUGAAUCGGUUUGAGAAUGUUACAAUGGUUUAAGAUUAGGGGAGGCAAGUAAUAUUUUUAAAACUUUAAGGAUGCCAAGUGAAACUAUCAUAAACUUGAGGGGAAAUUGAAUUGUAGUACUGAAUCAUAUGAUUCGGUGCAGGAUAUUUGUGGCAUAAUCUAUGUGGAAAGAGACCAAGAAAGAUAGAGGGGGGAGAAAAAAGAGGAGGAUUGGGGGGGGGGGGGGGGGGAAUGGGGUUGGGUUCAGUGAAUAGCAAAAAACAAGUGGGGGCUGCUCACGUCCAACGACCAAGUUGAUGUUUUCUCGGUUGGAAACUCGAUGGGGUGUACGCCCCCACGGCCAAGGUUCUUCUCCCCUGGACAUCACCAAUCAAACUUCCCCAUCCUUUUUUUUUCCUAUGCAUUCAUUCAUCGCUGCUUUCUUUAUUAUUGUUGGUGCCGUUGCGCAAUCUUUUCUUUCCCCAUCUUGCUACGUUCCUCGGCAUCUCAUCACUCGUUCCAUCUCCCCCGCCCCCACUGAAUUAAUCACCUCUUUUAGUACUACUACAGUACCACGUCUUGGGAGAGAGAUGUGUACGUAUGUAUGUAUCUAUAUAUAUAUAUAUAUAUAUAUAUAUAGAGAGAGAGAGAGAUCCCGCUCCCAAGUUCCAACAAGACGGACCCUCCCUUAAUUAUAGAGUUCCAGAGUAGUAGUAGUAAAUACUACUACACUAUAAUAUUCUGAGUAGUAUUAUUUUAGGAGCAAGUAUAUAUAGUCCACAAAAUGCUGAAUAUACUACUGAACUGAUAGUAAUAUUUAAAGGUGUCAAAAUAGGUGACUCGUGCGGGUUUGAGUUGGUUAAAAUGAGUAUUGGGUAUAAGUGAGUCAAUAUAUUUAUAUCCAUGUAAUUAGAUGGGUAUAAAUAGGUUAGUCAAAAAAAAAUGAGUUAGGUAACCCAAUUACCCAUUUAUAAGUAUAACCCAUUUAUUUUAAAUUUUUAUAAACUCAAUUGAAUUCAUUUUCGCAAAAUAGGUUAUCAAUUUAUACUACUAUUUGCACCCAUCAUUAGUUUUAAAUAUUUGCUUAUAAUGCUCAAUAAGCCUAAUUAUUAAUUUUUUUUCCCAUUCGUGCUCCACGUCGCAAAAAUUGCACACUAUUUAAUAAUUGAACAAUAAGAAUAUAAAAAUUUGAACUAAAUCCUAUGAAAGUUAACAUAAAAAUUUAAUCCAACAACUUUGAACCCCAAGCAUUCUUUUUUCGUGUGCAAAUUUAAAAUUUCAUUUUGAAAAGGUAGGAAAAGACGUUAAAACUUGUCAUAAAUUGGUAAUACUGAAAAAUGAGCAUGGUAACAAACUAAGAGAAAAUAAAAUGAUAAGAUGAAAUCAACAAAUAAUAAUAAUAAUAAUAAAGCAAAAGUAGUUAACAUUAUGACAAAAUGAAGAAUCUAAAAAAAAAAAGGGUGAGAGAAGAGAGGAUGCUUGAGGGAAGACAAUUCUAAUUGGGUUAACUGAGUUUGAUGGGUUACCUAAUAAUACCCAUUUAAUAAUGCAUAUUUAAUAAAUAAGUAUUAUUGGAUAAUCCAUUUAUACCCACAUGUAAAAAUUUAAUAUAUCCAUAUCCAUACAUUCGGCUCUCGCUUUAGCCUUAUGUCUUAUCCUUAGGAGGCCAGCCUCCACUAGAAGGCUUUUUCACGGACACUCAUCAUAAUUGUUGUUAUGAUUGAAAUGGAGAGGGAUUUUUAACUCAAUAUUGAUGUAUCAAUUUGUAUUUUAUUACUCGUAUCAUUAGGAAAAGAAAAUAUCCGAUUUUGAGAUUCAAACCGUUCAUGAAUUCGUAGUCAUCAAAGGUCCAACUGAUCACCAAACCUGUAUUCCAGUCAAAGUAAUAGGAAUUAGACCUAACGCGAUUCAAAAUAGAAAAACUUCAAUCAUUUCAAUUUAUUUGAAUGGACGGGGUACUAAGUAAUAAGAGAGAAAAUGGUGAGUUAAUUUUGUGUUGCUGGGAGACGGCUGGCUGUGAUCUCAAGUCAUCGGUCAAACGAAUCCAGCAUCAAUGCAUAUCGAGGUAGUCAGGCCGCAUCCAUCCGCCCUUCCAUUGAAUUUACCCAUCCAUCUCACAACAACAAUUACCAAGUACUGCCACUAAAACUUAAAUUCACUAUUGUCGAUUCCAUUCCACGUUAAUGUACUCGUGCGUACGUAAAUAGUCGCGGCUGCCACCUUUGCAUUAAAGUAUUUAUAUUGACCAAAUCUACAACCCAUCGAUCAUCUUUCUUCGGAGUCAGUCUACUGAGUCGUGCGUACGCCCGCCCGUCCAAAAUAUGUUGGCUAUUGCUGUUCUUUGGGAUCGGCUCGAUGAUCUCGAAAUAGUCUAAUUAGAUUUGGAGAUCGUGCGUUCGAAUCACCUCUCGAUCGUUUGUGUAUUCUUGGAGGACGGGAUGCACAGACGCAGAAAGAUUAGUGUAUCAGAAAAUUGAAAUACUCCUCCCUGUGUUGGAAAAAAAAUAUAUUACUGCCAUUUGUUAACCAGUUAGACAGCAAUUAAAGAUAAAAUCUUUUUUGUUCAAAACAUUACACAACAGCAAUUUCAUUUUUUUUUUUGGGAAGGAAUAAAAUAAACAGAAACCAAAGAAAAAAGAUAUACGGGUCUUGAAGUUUGGUAAUUGAUGAUACGAUGCAUCGUCAAUGGAUCAGAAGGGAAGGAAAAAAAGGCAGAAAGAGAGCAAGUAGCCCAACGAAGCACGACACAAUAGCAGAGGAAGAAAUCGAAAAGCACCUAAUAGUAGUAUACGAUAAGAUAUACAGGCACACCAAACUGCACCUAAUUAGGAAAACCGGUCAGCAAUUCAUUGAAUUGAACCUCCUCCUCCUCCUCCUUAAUGCACCACCCCUACGUAACUACGUGCUUAAGCCUACCAUCUCUCCAUUCCCUAUAUAUAUAUAUAUAUUUCCUCCAUCUCACUUUGAUAGUCCUGUAUUCCUUUUUCAUCUGUUCCAAAUUAUAGUCCACUUUCCAAUUGAAGAAUGUAGGUGUAUUUUAAUUUUUCUAAAAUACCCUUAUUCAAUGUAAGUAGUUGUUACUAUAAACCUACCUCAUUUAAUGAGAGUUGAUUCUUUUUUUACUAUCAAUUCAAGUUCCCAUAAAGUUGUACCAUAUUUAAUGUGAGGGUAUUUUAGGAAAAUAGCAAUCUAAAUUUACUUUGCCAACGCAGUUAACUACUUUUUCUUAAACUGUGUGAAAAAAGAAAUAGAACUAUUAAAGUGAGACGGAGGGAGUAUAUGAUUAAUCUUUUAUGCACUGACAGUAUAUACACUGUCAUGGUUAGAUGAAUGCUCCGCCACAUAUGUUAAAUUUAAAUUUCACUUAUGUGAUAUUUAUCUAACGGUGAUAGUAUAUACGCUGUCAGUGUAUUGUAUGUGUGUGUGUGUUUUUUUUUUUUUGAAGGAAAAGCAACUUUUUCGUCUUUGAUGUGAGGUGAUUAUAGAGCUUUAGCAUUAUGAUUAGGUACUAAAUUCUUUGAUUCUUUGAUUUUUUUUCUCUCUCCCCAUAUAUAAUUCGAUGGUAUCUUUAAUCUUUCACGAAUAACAGGAUAUUAUCAAACUCUAUGCGGCACUAUGAUCAUCUUUGGCAUUACUAAUAGAAGCAGAUUUGAGGAAAGUGGAUUAAUAUACCUACCGCGAAUAGAGGAUUAAUGCACCAUUACAAGACGAAGAAAGCAAAACAAAUGGCACACGUGGGUUUGUCGCCGUCCAUAUAUAUACAUAUAUAUAUGCAGAAAAUAUCCUUCAGUGUAAGUAGGGAAUUCUGCCGAACCGACCAAAAACACUCAUGGCUCACUCCACUAUAAUUACGGAAUCAAAUACCACGCUUUUGCAACUACUGCUGAUGCCAUCUCAUGUCGUGUUGGUAUCAUUUCUCAUGCACCUAGCGUUUUUUAUCUGAAAAUCACAUCUCAUAUUCUCUGUACUCCCUCCCUUUUUUUAUAACUGACGUUUAAGGUUUUGCACACUAAUUAAGAAAAGUUUUUCAUUGUUUAAAUCUAUACACUAUUUUCCUUUUGUACCCUCAUUAAUUGUCCAAUUCACUCAUGUUUUCUCUCACUAGAGUAUUAAAUGGUACUGUUUUACUAGGCCAAAAGCAAAGAGAGAAGUAAUAAUUACUAGGAGUAGUAAUUAAGAGCCCUGUAUUGGUAAAGAGAGAUAAAAGGGUAAAAUUGUGAAAAAAUAAUUAAUGCUGCAUGGGGAUAAUACAACGACAGAUAAAAGUACUUAAGAGCAAAUUUCUUAAACGUCAGUUAUAAAAAAAGAGAGGGAGUAUGUGUUAAGGGUUUUAAUUAACUGUGCUCGAUGGCAAUAAUUACUUAAAUCACACCUAACAUAGAAUACACGUACUGAUAAUUAUUACUCUGCCACAUUCAUAUUUAUGUUUGUUAGUCAAAAAAUCCGAGAGUUCCUAAACUAAACUAUCACCGUCGUCUAAUUUUAAUCCCCGAUCUAAGUGUUGCUUAAAACAAUUAAAAGUACGCAUAGUUGAAACAGGAACUCAAGGGGAUUUUUGUGCACCCCUAGCCAAAAGCAUCCACAGCAGAAUUUUAAGAGCAUCGAGAGAGCAGAAGUCUCGAGAAAAAGGAAACCCUUCAUUUUUCUUUAACCUCCGAAUAAGAUUUCUCCACGAAUCUUUGAAAAAACCUAACUUGAAAUUUUGCUCCUAAUGCCUUUUGAUUGAGAGGCUGUAUAAAAUACCCUUCAACUGAUCGUAAAUGAUCGUAAAUAAUUCUUUAAACUGUGCAAUUUAAUUGUUUAGGGAUCGGUUGGAGGCAAAUUUGAGAUCAAAAGUGGAUAACUGUGAUAAUUUAUGAUUUUUUUACUCUACAUUUAUAUACUUUCUCCAAUUAAAUUUACUCUUUUUUUUAAAAAAAAAAAAUUUAACAGGAGACCCUCGUGUCCCGUGUUAAAAGUUAAAACACGAAUCACAGAUGCACGAUUCUCGUGUACAAGUGGCGUAUAGACACGUGUUGACUUGCAGUCCAUUAAAGCAGCAAAAUUUCGAUGGAUGGUUCGCAGAAGAAGGCAAUAAUAAACAUAAAUGGAUUUUACACGUUUAUUUGCUUUCUUUUGACCGAAUUCAAAAUGUGACUGUUGGCUCCCUCCCAAAGUGACGAGUAUACCUGGCAAUUGGGCGGGUUGGGCGGAUUUUAGGCAGGUUAAUAUUGAAUUUUCAUUUAAAUGGAUUAUACUCAACCCGUUUAACUUUAGAUUGGGUUGAUUUUGGAUUGAGUCAUAUUGGGUUAUCUCAAACCUAUGAUCCAAAUAUGACCAAACAAAUUAAUUAAUACAUUUUAAUACAUAAACUUUUUCACAUACAUUUUAACACACACAAUUUUUUUUUUCACAUAUUUAAACACAUUUUCACAUACAUAAAUAUAUUUUCACACGCACAAACACACACUCACUUCUUAAUUUCCUUGGAAACACAUCAUAAAUAGAAUAAUAUUUUAUAUUGCUUGUAUUGUGAAUUUUAGAUAAUAAAUUAUACAUUUAAAUAGAUUAACUAAAAAAAUUGUUUACGUUGUACUUUUUUUAACAUUACUAAUUGAUUGAAACUUAUUUUUGUCAUAACUUAUUAACACUUUUACUAUUCAUAUUUGUUUUAUUGUAAAUUGUAAUAUUCUAUGUAUAUAAAUUAUUGAAUGCUAGAUUAUAUUAUACUUGAAAAUUUAAGUAAGAGACAUAUAAUUUGUUGUAUAAUAAUUUUGAAAUUAUAGAAAAUAAGUUAGUACUUUAGUCCUUAUAUUCUCAAAAACUUUGAUUCGACAUUGAUUCUGCAAGUUGAGUCCUAACUUUACGCAUUGAUUCAAUUAAUUUUGUUGAAAUUGCCUCUUCCAUUAAGUUUAGUUACUUGUGCACACACUUGUUAGAAAACAAGAUUUUGUGUCGGAAUUUGUUUAGCUAGUAUAGUAAUCUAGGUUCGAAGUGGAUUCUCCCUCUUUUUGUUCCCUUGUGUCUCCAUUGGAUCCUUCCCUUUCCCAUAGCCACUUUUUCCUUUACCACAAAAAUUUUUUAAAAAAAGACUUAAACAAAUGAUAGCCAACUAUAUUGAUUCGAAGUUAAUAUCGUGAUCUAUAUACAUAUAAUAUAUAUUAGAAGGUAUUUUUUUAUUGGUUUGAUACAGUUAGAUAAUUCAUCACUUAGUUAAUUAGAAUCAUCUAGGAUCAUACAUGAUGCUAUGGUCAUAUUAAUAUUUUAGAAUUACCACAGUUCUAAUAUAAAGCAUAAAAUAUUAUAUACUUGUAAAUAGUUGGGCAUAUGUGUAUUAAAUCUUGUAUUUAUUAUUUUUAAUUACUUUUAAACAAGUUGAAUAUUGGGUACCCAAAUAAAAAACCCAACCCGUCCAAUGAAUAAGUUGGAUUAUUCUUACUCAACCCAAUAAAACCCAAAACCCAAUUGACCCAACCCAUCAUCUAAAAUUAAUAAGCGGGUUGGGUGGAUUGUUGUGUUUUUGACUUUUUUGCCACAUCUAGUGAUGAGAAUGAGAAUGAUAAUGACCCUCCAAACACUACAGCUCUCGUAGUACUACUCUCAAAUGACUCAUCAAUGUUACGUAAGUACCAUAUAUCAACUAACGACGAAAAAAAUUGUGGCUUAAUUGUGGUUGGGACCUAAUUGAGGCGGCUUCCUCCGACGGAAUAAUCUCAUCGGCUCCUCCUCCCCUUAUAUUAGACUAGAGUAGAUCAUACAAAUAUUAUCGUUACGACAGAAAAACAAAAAAAAAUGACGACAACAACAAGAAGUAGAGGAAGCCCCACCGUCCUCACAACCUCCGGCCACCCACCCACCCACCCACCUACACCUACCCUGAAGCUUCUAUCUGAGGAUUUCCAAUAUUAUCUUAGAACCUGAACAACGACAAGAGCAAGAGAUAAAUUCAAUCUGCCGUACACACAAUGGCCUUUUUUCGUUCAUGCCUCUUUUCUAAGUUGGAAAAAUCAACUUCAAAGAGCGUCCGUCAGAACACCAUCCUUUAGUGUGUACUACUUGCAACGUUUCAUUAGUGUGUUUUUAGUUAUCAUCCUUCUUCUUCUUCUUCUCGGUCCAUCCAUCCAUCAACUCAGGUUAGACACCCAAAGUCAAAGAAAGACAGAAUAUAUAAACGUACAUAUAGAAAGCCAAAGUCCAACUUGCAUAUAUAUGAUCAUGCGUACUCGUCUGUCUGGCUAUUCCACCACUUCCGUCUCACUCACUGCCGUGUCCAACUUGCAAAUCCACGACUUUAGACCCCAAAAACAUGCAUCCUUCAUACAAGUAUCAGACCAUUCCUCUGCUCUAUCAUCAACCAAAUCCAAUUCACCUACAACCUUCUAUCCCAUCCUAUCCACUCAAAAAUACCACAUUCGUUGAAUUGGAGGAAAGCCUGUACUGUGAUCUAUCACACACUCGUAAUGUAAUGCGUCAAGUUGGCUGAGUAACUUAUGCAUCAGGCAAGCUUCUCAGGCUUAAUGUUGUGUAAUUCAGAGUCAAAAUUUUAUCUGGCAAAAGCUUCAAUGUCCCAUCACUAAAAACUACAGAGGCAACUCAUACUUGCAAUUCUAAGCCAAAGCUGUAAAGUUCUCACACGAUGUGACAUAUUUCCCUGUACCAAAACUUCAAGCAGACAGUUCAAUGGGGGCGAUUCCAUUAUCCAGAGCAAAAAAACAAAAAAAGUAAGUAUAAAAUUGUUCUGGUAAUAUAGAGAACAAGCAUAAUAUACUGAUGCUGCAUAGCCUCACUAUGUACUCUAUCAGGAAAAUAUAUCCAGUCAACCAGGAUACUACACUCAGAUAUUACCCGCGCAUGGAAUGAGUGAGAGCUUGUACAGACAACCAAAGUCGCCCACAGCCACAAAAUGAUUCAAAACACACCUCCUAGAUUACAGAAUUUGCAUUAUUUGAGGUACACAACAGAGCUCGAGUUAAAUUAAUUUAUUAAGGCAGUACUACCUCAACAACAGCACAUAUUCAGCUCUGGCUUCCAUAUUCCCCUACCAAGAUUGUCUUCACUCCUGUAGAACAAAAAAUGUAAAUGUUAAUCCAACAUCCAAUCUGAUGCAAACAACAGAACGAAAAAAAAAUGUACUACAACAAGCUCAGAAAGCCAGGGAAAGCAUUCUAGUUUGCCUCCCUUGUGGCCAAUAUCAACAUUGACAGAUUUGUAAGGCAACAGGACAAACACAAAUAGACUCUUUAUCUAUCUAUGAUGGCACCUGACGCUGAAUACAGAUUCAAUGUUUGUAUUAGCUAGUGCCUUUAGUUUCAGGGGUUGGAGCUCAUUUUAUCUAAUAACAUUCCUACACGGUGCAGGACCUCUUACAGAAUAUAGUAGACUUUUAGUUCUUUCAUUAUUUCUAAAUAUACUGAUAUCAGAUCAUGCUAGAUAUUAAAAGCCCUUGUAGCUCUGAAUGAUUCUUAAUAAGCACCUAAGUCUGCCACAUCCAGUGAUUCAAAGUAAUAUGAUAGGCAUGUGCAGACAUCAAAACUUCAGGCCUCCAAAGUAAAGCAAACAAGACACUGAUAAGUGAUGUUAAGAUGGUUUCCAUAUGAAAGGAGGACAACAGACUUAAAUGUGAGACACGAAAUACGGUUAGGAAAGUUGAAAAAAAAAAUCGAUCAAAUUGUUUGCUCCUACCCUUUUUUACUACCAGAAUCAUCCUCCCACAAAAAGGGAUCAGAUUCAUUCUUCUCACAUAAAGUUUUAUUUUGUAGUUUCUCUGCUCCAAACAAUGAAAAGGAAGCUGAAAUUUACAGGAAAUGUCAAAAGAUUUCCCUUACCAUCUAUUCCUCAGGAAACAGUACGAAAAUAGUAAGAUGAUAGGUGGAAAUGGUCACAAGACUUGGAAAACUACAGGUCAUUUGUUAACAAUAUUUCGAUGCGAGGGACCAUUGGGAACUCUUAAAGGGAAAGGGGUGGGGCGUUUUUUUUUGGGGGGGGGGGAAUGACUUCUGAAACCAAUGCGCUUUUUCCUCAGCCAACAUUUGCAAAAAGUCCAACAACAAGAUAUUUCACUGCCCCAGCUAUAUUAGGUGGGGCAAUAAUAUGUUAAGUUCAAAACCAACAUAUAUAACUCAAGGGCAUUCAAAUGAUUCUGGCAAAAAAGCAACACAUUUCUGUCCCCUGCAGCAGUAUGCUAUAAGCACAAAAAGUGAUGAAUGCUUGUUCAUUCAAAGGUUAUCAGAAAGAUCUCAAUUAGCUACACAGUCAUGGAUAUGUUUAAUGUCAUGUUGUAGAAUAAAAUCACUGUAAAAAUAAAAAGCGUUAUCCUUGUUUCGUUGUCAUUCAUUUAUGUUCCCAACAUACUGAGAAUUCACCUUAACCACAGUUCCUAAAGACAUGUUCGUGAAAUUAUGCAUUAGAUAAAUAUGUAUCCCACUCAGCAUCUAAGAAUUCAAUCUUUCGGAAUUCAGACUAUCGAAUGUACUAAUUGUGAAAGUUCAGAGGACUUCAUUAGUGGUUUGCUAAGAGGAGGAAAAUCUGUAUGAACUCGCAACAUGUGGUUCCAAAAACCAAAGCCUAAUCAUUGACUGCUCACUAGAACACGUGAGAGCUAUGCAUCUCAAGGGUUGCAAUAGAGAUGUACUCGAGAACUUACAUCUUCAAUUAGCAUCCAACUAGCUAGCUCUUCUAAAUUAUCACUAACCAUCAAUUCCAGCAUUCUAGUUAGCCUAUCUCAAAAAUGAAACUUGGGUAGUACCCAAUAUCGAUGACAACAUAUAUUUACAUAAAUACCCCACAUUUUGUUCAAUAUAUGCAUUAAAUACUUUCUGAAUCUAUCACCAGCAAUAAUUUGGUCAAGUCAAUAUUUUCAACAUUACGCAAAUACAGAGUUUGCAGGUCAAUUCCCACGGUAUAACUCAGACUGAUUAAAAGAUGAAAAAUACAUUACUGUAUCAUCACAGAAAUGAAGUUAAAAGAUGAAAAAGCCUGAACAACAUUGAAAGGAAGAAAAAGACACACCAAAAGACAAACAAACACUAAGAACCCACAAACCUCAUCAUCGUCAUCGUCGCCUCCAUCUUCCUUGUUCUUCUUGAAGCGAGUGGUACCACCCUCUUUGCUGAUGGGUAACUUCAUAGCUCCAAAAGGCGUAUCCACAUUUAUGUGGCCUUUGAUGGUGUAGCCAGUGCCUUUUCCUCUAAUCAUGUCCCAAACAGCAGAUCCAAAGUCCUUUGGCCUGAAGGUAAUGGGAAUAUCAACAUAGCUCAUCCCAUUUUUAUCAAUUUUAGCUGAUUUUUGGAGUUCUGCACCCCCAAUGCUCACAUCAGACAGCCAAACCUCAUAGUCAAGUGUAUUGAGCCCCAACUCAAAAUCAUUUUUGUUCUCAAUCUUCAGAUGCAGUAGAGCAACAGUUUCUUCAAAAGAAAAUCUCUGAAAACGAAUUUUCUCAAGAUCAACAUCUGGCUUAUAUGGUAUGGGAAUCUCUCCAGUCUUCUCAAGUGGCAAAGUUAGCCUGCCAAGAACAGGCACAUCCACUAUGAGAUCAACCUUGAUCCUAUAAGGAAUAAUACUGCCAGGCUUGAUAUCGUCAUAGGUGCUUUUAAUGUCAUCAUAUAUCAAAGUAAGUGGUAUCUUGACAGUCUCGGAACCAUGUGCAUGGAGAGUUCCAGCAUCUGGGAUCAGCCCAGAUACUAAUUUCCUCCCUUCACUCUCAACCAAGUAAUUGAUAUCAACAAGAGGGAUUGGAAUGGGAUUUGGGUUUUUAACAAGCACGUCAACAACAAUAUCUGCUUUUUCAAGAUUGAUGGAAGGGAUGUGAAUUCCUGUGACAUCCGCAGUGGGUUUCCCAAAUCCAAUGGUUUCUUCAAUCUUCUCUCCAAUAUCCUGAAUGAAAUCCUUCACUUUCUCAAGAAAUCCGCCCUUUUGUUCAUCUUUUUUGUCUUCUUUUUCCUCUUUCUCCUUGAUGGCCCUCUCAACUAUCUCUGGGUUAUCAGAAGAUGCCAUGCCUUGAUAGAAGAAUAGUAAAGAAGAAUGAUAAAGCAGAAAAGUAAGCACAAAAAAAAAGAAAGAAAGCAACUUACAGUAUAAAUUGAUAAUCCAAGCUCUAAAGUUUGAACAAAUUAAUACAAUAUACAGGAACUACUCUAGGCAACUUGAAAAAAACAAAGUAGCUGAAGCUAUACAAGUACGGGAAGAAAAGGAUAUUAUGAGCAACCAGUUUCGAUGAGACUACUUUAGCUAGCACUCACUCAAGUUUUGUCUCCAUAUUGAGUCGCAAAAGAAGUAAACCAAAAAAAAAUCAAUAAUAGGUUAAGGUAAAAAUUACAUUUGGUAAAAGUUUGUAAGAGAAAAUUCCAGCAGCAUGAAUAAAAAGAGACGAGCAACUACCAUGCUAACCCUUGAAAAAGAAUGAAUGAGUAAUAGUUAAGGGGUGGCAGUAUAGGCUGUAGAGGAGAAGCUGAAGCAGAGUUUCAUCCCCACCCCCAAGAUCAGAGUAAUAAACCUGAUUAACACUCAUUUUACAAAUUACAGUGGUAGUGUCUUAACUAAGACAGACGCCAAUGGAAAAGGAAAUCCUCCGGAGACAAAGCAACAGAGCAAGGAAAAGCAAUGAGCAAACGAUGGGCGUUAAAGCUACGGUAUUUGGCAGAUGGUACUAAUAAUAUUCACUAUAAAAAGAGCAUAAAGAAGCAGAAAUGAAAGAAAACAUUUAACAACCACCAAAAGAAAAAAGAAGCCAUAAAAAAGAAAAAGAGAAUACAAACAGGGAGAACAUAUCAGACACUGAAGAAUGCUCUGGCUUUCAGCAAUGAGUGAACGAACAAUCCAAAAGAAAACCCAGAAAGACAUAAACUUUUUUUUAAAAAAAAAUAAACCAAAAAUUUCGAUCAGAUCCGAUCUGCACCAAGAAUGCAAUACUAGCAGCAGCAGCAUUUAUGACAGAAAACAGGGAGAGAGAUGAAUGAAAUGAAUCGACAUGGAACAAGUUCCCAAAUUCACAGGUACGAGUACGAACUAGAAGCAAACACAAAGCAGUAGCAAUUAAUCUGAAUGAACAAUACAAUCUGCUGAUAAAGGAGAUGGGAUCACGGAAAAAAGAUAAAGAAAACAGACACCUUUUUUUUUUUUUUUUGUGGAAUCCAUUUAUUCAUAUACCUGCGAGAGAAAUUUGGUAGAUAAUCCAAGCGGAGUGGGAAGUUGAGAGCGUGAGUGAGAAUGGGAACGAUGAGAACGGAUACAGACUUUUGCUGUUCUGAUUUUUAUUAGUGUGAACAAAAACAAGAAUGCUGCACCGGCCCAAGUACGCUCGCUACAAAACUCCUUUUUUGGUUUUUUAUUUAUUAUUUUUGCCUUGAAUUAAUCCUGUACAUUGACACUGUAAUGUCUAUACAAAUGCAAAUGCGUUUGUAAGAAUUGAAAUUGAAACUGAAAUUAGAGUCCAUUUAUAAAAAAAAAAAUUAUUGAAAAUCAGGACAUAUCAUCUAAAUUGCAAUUGAUAUGAAUAUAAAAAUUCCUAAAUUGCAAUUGACAUACAUAAUUAGUGAGGGAUGGAAAUAUUCAUUUUUUGAAAUGUGAGGGGAUGGAGAAAUUCAUUUUGUGAAUUGCGAGGGAUGAAAAAAUUAUUUUAUAAGAUGUGAGGGACGAAAAAAUUUGUUUUAUAAAAUGUAGAGGACUAUAAAUCAGAUUAUGUAAAAUAUAAUUUGACAAAUUUACCCUUUAAAAAUGAUCACGUACCUUGCACGUGGUGGAUUCCAGCCAAAAAUGAUCGAAACCUAGUUAGGGACUAAAUUUGACCGAUGUGAAUAUGUAAGGGACAUAAAAUUACACUUUUAAAAGUGAGGGACGAAAAAAGUUAUUUUACAAAAUAUGAGGGACGUUUUGAACGAUUUUCCCUUUGUAAAAUUUGGAUUUGUAAACUUUGAUCACACACGUCCACUGUAAUACUAUUAAUGAAUGAAUGAUACUCUUGACAUACAUAAAUACUACUGAUUGAUUAAGACAACCGGUGAAUAGAAAAGGAAAAAACACAAGUGACUAAGACAACGGAGCCCCCGCCCUGGGGGUUCUGACUUUGAGAUUCGGACACGAGAGGCGGGGAUGCAGUACAGCUGUGUCGUCUCAUUGUCUUAUUACUAAAAUUCAACGAACAACCUCAUCAACAGUCAACAAAUGUUUUUGUUCUCAUGCAAUGCAAAUAUGCAAUGCAAGCGACCGAUGAGAUUUUAUUUGGCAAAACAUUUGUGUGAGAUUCUUAUCUGAUCCACCAGGCCCAAUUCACCACCUAAACAAAUUUGCAUUUGCAUGCCAAGACCCACCCUGCUCUAUCCUAAUCAUGUGGCAUUUGCAUUUGAAACGACAGCUUGUAAUAAUAUUGCCUGUCAAAAUGUACAGUACAUGGACAACGGUCCGAGCAAAAAGGACAAAGGCCCUAGCAUCAUCUAUUCGAGUGCCUCAGCACUCCAAAUGUUGAGAGCAUAUUUGCUCAUUUGAACAUUCUUAUCAUCAUCUAUGUUAAUGGGGGAGGAGCAGCACUGUGAAAACAAAGUACAAAGGGACUGCACGUCUUCAAUGAUUGUAGCUAGUCGACUUCCCUGAUGACAUGAGCAUUGAGUGUAGCUGGCUAAUCAGCUUCUUGCUUUCCAGCUCUAUUUGGAUAUUUGUCCAUCUUUGGUUUGCAGCUUUGAUCAUGGCCGUCUCCAAGUUCCUCAACACGAUGAGAUACCUCUGAAGAUUGUUCUAAGCAAAAGAUUCUUUUACAUGGCAUAAAAACUCAGAUACUUUCCUGCCCCAAGAAUCUUCUGUAAUUACUGAUUAAAUGGUGGUGGCACAUCCUGGGACACAAGUGACCGAGACAAGAGCUGAUUUUUCAUCCAAAUAGAUUGUGGGCCUCCAUACGAGUCGUUUUAAUCCUUAACAAAAGCAGGAGCCCGUGGACAAGAGUCUUUGAGCUUGUAUCUUCAUAUGUACCUGUACUCGGAAACAGCAACAGCUAACUCAAGUGAAGAGUGACACUCAUUUGUCCUCGACCAGGGAAACCUUUUAACACACUUUAACCCAAUUCACCAGACCGAGUGAUGCUCUCUCUCUUUACAAAUGUGAUAAUCGAGGAUUCUUCUUAGGUAAUCCAGCUGCUCGAAUUCGCCCUGAAGUUCUUCCCACUGCAACAACACCACCACCACCACAUAAAUGCUACAUGUCAAAAGUUUUCAUUUGUUGCUUCUAUAUGUUUAGGGAGUCCUGCCAUGGAUUAGGGAUUCAGAAAAACACCAAGAACUAGGAGUGGUUUUUUUUAAGUCAAAUGUAUCCUCAUACAUAUUUGUAGCACGGGGUGAAAAAUCACUAAACUGGAACUCCCAGCAGAUGGCCCACAGAAAGUAAGAGGGAUUGAAACUCGCAUGCAUCUACUUUGGAAAACGAGGGAAAGUACAAAUGAAAAUUUGACCUCCCUCUACUAUAGGGCAUACAAUUAAGAACAGUUCGUAUAACACUUUCUCUUAAUCAACUGCUGAUUCCAAAGACGGGAAACAAAGGUAUAGCACGCAAAAUCACAAGGAAGCUUCAAAAUUCCAGUGAAAACUGAAACUAAUGAAGCUUGUGGAGAAUGAAGGUUGUUGUCUAGUACAUGACCGGCACCGUAGCUCAGAGCACACUAAUAAUUUGCCAUCUAAAGGCACUUAUGUGGUCUCAAAUUGGAGAAUCUUUCGCCAUGGCAAAUUCUGAAAAGUUCCAGAAUCUUUUCCAUGGUGUUUGUGUAAAAGUCAUUCUUUUGAAAUGAAUCUAUUGUUAAAGAGCAUGGAACUAUCAUUUAGAAGUAAACUUUUCUUUACCAACUGCUCAAAGUACAAAAUCAGCGUUUUUAUAUAAUUCAUGCGUAUUUGGUGAUACAUCUGAAGAUUUCAUGCACAUAACCUUAUUAUAACAAUAAGAAGACAGGCAAAAAUAUUGCAAAAUCCAACCUAAAUUCUACAAGAUCACAAUUUGCACACCAGAGUGUACUACACAAAAGGGUUUAUUACCCUUUCCUUUUGCUUUCUGAAACUGACAAAUUACUAGAGGCAAUACAGGAAUUCUGCUGCUUAGUUCACAGACUGUUUAUGUACCAACCAUUGAAUAAAAGAGUCCC